GAUGAACGCUGGCUACAGGCUUAACACAUGCAAGUCGAGGGGAAACGGCAUUGAGUGCUUGCACUCUUUGGACGUCGACCGGCGCACGGGAGAGUAACGCGUAUCCAACCUUCCCAUUACUGUGGGAUAACCUGCCGAAAGGCAGACUAAUACCGCAUAGUCUUCGAUGACGGCAUCAGAUUUGAAGUAACGUUUUAUCGGUAAUGGAUGGGGAUGCGUCUGAUUAGCUUGUUGGCGGGGUAACGGCCCACCAAGGCUACGAUCAGUAGGGGUUCUGAGAGGAAGCUCCCCCACAAUGGAAAUGAGACACGGUCCAAAAUCCGACGCGAGGGAGGAGUGAGGAACAUUAGUGAAUGGACGGAAGUCUGAACCAGCCAAGUAGCGUGCAGGAGGACGGCCCUAUGGGUUGUAAGCUGCUUUUGUAUGGGGAUUAAGUUAGGGACGUGUCACUAUUUGCAGGUACCAUACGAAUAAGGACCGGCUAAUUCCGUG
rnacentral:rRNA from 1 species